UUUACUCAAUUUUUUAACCGUCUGCAUAACUUUAUUUUUUUUACAAGUCCGUUUAGCUCAGAUAAAGUGGACAAGCCUCAAUGGGAUAAGCUAAGAGUCUGAUGUUUAGUGAAUUCUGGAACCAAUAAAACUACAUCAACAUCAUGCCGACACAAUUUGCGACAUGGGCCAGUACAGAUAAGUUAUAAACGGACCUUUGCUGCCUCCGGAGAUGUACGACGGCGUGUCCCAAUGAAAAGCGUUUAAAAUAUCAACACCACGAACGGGUGUAGAUAUUCGAAACUUAUUCUUUUUAGGUUUUAUAAUUUGUUUUAUAUCCCGCCAUGACGUUUUCAAACUUCCACUGCUGUCUGACGACAAGUCCUCUGAAUUUAAAGUCUUUUCACUAUGUGACUUAAAUAAAUUAGAUGUUGCAUCUUCUUUGUUCAAAUAA